rnacentral:rRNA from 1 species
AACAACGGAUCUCUUGGUUCCAGCAUCGAUGAAGAACGCAGCGAAAUGCGAUAAGUAAUGUGAAUUGCAGAAUUCAGUGAAUCAUCGAAUCUUUGAACGCACAUUGCGCCC